GACAGAACAAAGAAAUGAUCACUGAACGUAGUCCAUCUUGAAUGAGUCGUUACGUUUUCAUGGUCGUGACGAUUCUUUGUUUCUGCAUCGUCCUAAUUCUCUAUUUACUCGUAUUUAUUUUCUAACUCACUCAAGACAUUCAGUAUGAGUUAUCAAGUUGAUAAUCGCUAGAGUUUUCUGUGUCUGUCUAGUGGUUGUAACAGUCGUGUGUAUUUAUCAGAUGCUGCAUCAAUUGUGUAAUACGUUAGUGGACCACGUGGAUGGAUUAGUGCUGAACAAUCUGUAGACUAGCUUAAUGCUCAUUCACUUGUAUCACGUAUUUUUUUAUUAACUAGUGAGAAAGAAAGAAAGCGAAAUGAUAAAACGGUCAGCUGAUUGGCAUUCCGUGGUAUUGAUGGCGGGAGUGAGAAGCAAUGAACUAAUCGGCCAUUGUGAACCAAACGUCCGUCGAUGGCUGUACUGUAUUUGUAUAGACCAAAUAUCUUUAGUCCACUUUCAGGUACUCACUUGUAUUCGAUUGAAAAUUGAUGAAGAGCCGACUGGGUGACGGGGGUAGUCGGCGUGGAUGAUACCGUUUGCCACCAGGUAGUCAUCUUCAGCGACAGCGAAAUUGCGGAAAAUACUAGUGAAGACAUGCAGAAAUUACCGUGUCUUCUUCAAUGCUUUAACAGAGAUUGUCUUUUUGCAGUAGCUUACCAAUGUAAAAGACCGUAAGAGUAAUUUGUGGGUAAAGGCCUACGGACUUUUUUUUGUCAGAGCUCAGACCUUGUAGUUCAAUUAACCGAACAUUGUGAUAGGCUUUGGUCUUGCAGGUACCAAAAAAUAAUGGUCGUCGUUUCAUUUUCCAUCUUCAAUCCAAUGUAUGUAUAAAUAGAUAAGUCAUGAUCAAUCUUUAUUAAAGAAAAGUUCCCUACAUUUGAAGAACAUAAUAGACCCGAACCACUGCAUGUGUUCAUGCAUUUGUUGACACAUAAAAUUUGGUGACAGAUAUGGUCAUUUUCAGUUGAUAACAGUUGGUAUGUGACAGGAAUGUAUUCUGGUGGCGAAGAAAAACUUAAAACAAGAAAAGAUUUCAACUAAGUAAAAUUUAUUUAUGUUACAGUUGUUUGGUGUUAAAUUUUUCUAAUCCAUUGCCUUAAAAUCAGUUAAUCUUAAGUCUAGUCAACAGAUACUACAUUUUUCAUUUACUCUUUAGGUGUGUUUUAUGCAUUUGUCGUUGAGACUUGAGAGGCUUGUAUUUGCCAGAUUGUUUAUCGUAUGGAUUUAAAAUCGAUGCUAAUAGUGGAUUUUCAUCGGAGAAGUUGUAGACCGAUCAAUGGUGGUAUGAAAAUAGCC